UUCUGACCUCGAAUCAGGUGGGACUACCCGCUGAACUUAAGCAUAUCAAUAAGCGGAGGAAAAGAAACUAACAAGGAUUCCCCUAGUAACGGCGAGUGAAGCGGGAUGAGCUCAAAUUUGGAAUCUGGUAGCCUUUGGCUGCCCGAGUUGUAAUCUAGAGAAGUGUUUUCUGUGCUGGCCUGUGUUCAAGUUUCCUGGAUAUGGAACAUCAUAGAGGGUGAGAAUCCCGUCUUUGGCACAGACUCCCAGUGCUAUGUGAUACACUCUCAACGAGUCGAGUUGUUUGGGAUUGCAGCUCAAAAUGGGAGGUAAAUUCCUUCUAAAGCUAAAUAUUGGCGAGAGACCGAUAGCG
rnacentral:rRNA from 1 species